ACACUUGUCUGAGAAACUCACUCUCGCAACACUAGAGAUUAAUACAUCACUCAGUGUGCAUUUCUUUGUGAUAAAGGGCUGGUGUCAAAUAUAUCAGAUAUGUUUGUGAGACUCAAAAAUUGUGAAUACCCUGAUUCUUGAUACUUUAAACCUGUGUGUGCACCUUACUCUAGAUGGUAUAUGAUAUCUUAGUUUUUAGCUCUUGCACCAUUUUUUUGGUAGAGGUGAAAACUAGGAUCUAAUGAGGUGAUAGAAUGAUAAUUUUUUGUAUAAGUAGCCCCACCCUCACUGGAAAUUAGUGUCUUCGACUAUAACAUCAGUAUUGUGGCUUUCAAGUUUUGCAUUAAUAAAUGCAGUAAUGUUUCUACAAUAUGAGUUAAAACAUUUGCAAAUGAUGCCAUUCUCCCUCUUGUUUAGAGAAAGCCUCACUCCUAAAACAAAACCCAUUUGCAGUGUCUUUGUUGCAGCAGCAGCAGCUACCUUGUCAUUUCUCCCCAAAGGAACAAGAUAAAAUUGGACGUGAACCAGGGAAAGUGAUAAGUACUUUGAUUUUAUUUUUAUUCCAAAAAGAAGAGUAUAACAAGUAAGUGUUGGCUCCUUGAGGUACUUUUUCUAAGUAACUAUCUUGUUUGUCAUUGUUGAUCUUCAUGACCAAGUUUAACUUUGCAGGUUUAAGGUGAAGAUUUGGGUAUCAUCUUCAUUAUCAAUGCAUCACUUUUACAUGUACAAUAAGCUUAUUCUGGUUUGGAUUCUCCACAUCAUCAUGAAGGGCCCAGCCCUCUGCUUAGGAAAUAUGGUUGAGGACAAAUAUUUGAAUGUUGGAGAAGAGCUUUGGCAAGAAACUUUGCCAUUACAAGGUGGAUCUCGCUUUUAUCAUAUACAACAUCUAAAACCCCAUACGUGGUAUGAAGUGAAGAUAUCAUAUCCAGCUUCGAUACCUGCUAGCUUUUCCUUACAACUGAAGAGAAACAAGUCAAAUAUGGAGCUCACAAGUAACAGGAGAUUACUCAACACUGAAAAGCUAAUUUUUAAGACCUAUAGCGAUCAGGUCCAGCAAUAAUAUGAAGAUUUUUAGUCCAAAUUUUUGGAACCGUUUGUUUGAACUUCAUUUGAUAAUGUUUUGUUCUUACAACGUUGACUUGAUUCAGGACAAAACCUACGUACUAGUAGCUGUGGAGCCAGAGGGGGUUCCAGCAAAACCUUAUAUACUAGAGAGGCAGUUUAUCAUCUUCAUUAUAGGUAACUUUUUGCUUAGUAUAUUAAUAAUCUUGAUACUACCAAAUGUGGAAUCUUAUACUUCAUUUACAUUAGUAGUAUUACACGCUUAUAAAUUAUCUGAUGUU
rnacentral:lncRNA from 1 species